rnacentral:lncRNA from 1 species
CAGCAGAGAGGCUAUAUACAGUAGAGAGGCUAUAUACAGUAGAGGCUAUAUACAGUAGAGGCUAUAUACAGUAGAGAGACUAUAUAGAGUAGAGAGGCUAUAUGCAGUAGAGAGGCUAUAUACAGUAGAGAGGCUAUAUACAGUAGAGAGGCUACAUACAGUAGAGGCUAUAUACAGUAGUGAGGCUAUAUGCAGUAGAGAGACUAUAUACAGUAGAGAGGCUAUAUACAGUAGUGAGGCUAUAUACAGUAGAGAGGCUAUAUACAGUAGAGAGGAUAUAUACAGUAGAGAGGCUAUAUACAGUAGAGAGGCUAUAUACAGUAGAGAGGCUACAUACAGUAGAGGCUAUAUACAGUAUAGAGGCUAUAUACAGUAGAGAGGCUAUAUACAGUAGAGGCUAUAUACAGUAGAGAGGCUAUAUACAGUAGAGAGGCUAUAUACAGUAGAGAGGCUAUAUACAGUAGGGAGGCUAUAUACAGUAGGGAGGCUAUAUACAGUAGAGAGGCUAUAUAGAGUAGAGAGGCUAUAUACAGUAGAGAGGUUAUAUACAGUAGAGAGGCUAUAUACAGUAGAGAGGCUAUAUACAGUAGAGAGGUUAUAUACAGUAGAG